UGGGGAAUAUUGCACACUGGGCGCAAGCCUGAUGCAGCCAUGCCGCGUGUAUGAAGAAGGCCUUCGGGUUGUAAAGUACUUUCAGCGGGGAGGAAGGGAGUAAAGUUAAUACCUUUGCUCAUUGACGUUACCCGCAGAAGAAGCACCGGCUAACUCCGUGCCAGCAGCCGCGGUAAUACGGAGGGUGCAAGCGUUAAUCGGAAUUACUGGGCGUAAAGCGCACGCAGGCGGUUUGUUAAGUCAGAUGUGAAAUCCCCGGGCUCAACCUGGGAGAGGCAUCUGAUACUGGGAAGCUUGAGUCUCGUAGAGGGGGGUAGAAUUCCAGGUGGAGCGGUGAAAUGCGUAGAGAUCUGGGGGAAUACCGGUGGCGAAGGCGGCCCCCUGGACGAAGACUGACGCUCAGAUGCGAAAGCGUGGGGAGCAAAGAGG
rnacentral:rRNA from 1 species